rnacentral:rRNA from 1 species
AGCAGCAGCCGCGGUAAUACGGAGGGGGCUAGCGUUGUUCGGAAUUACUGGGCGUAAAGCGCACGUAGGCGGCUUGGUAAGUUAGAGGUGAAAGCCCGGAGCUCAACUCCGGAAUUACCUUUAAGACUGCCGAGCUAGCAGGUGAGAGAGGUAAGUGGAAUUCCGAGUGUAGAGGUGAAAUUCGUAGAUAUUCGGAAGAACACCAGUGGCGAAGGCGGCUUACUGGCUCAUACUGGACGCUGAGGUGCGAAAGCGUGGGGAGCAAACAGGAUUAGAUACCCGAGUAGUCCCUGUCUCUUAUAC